GUGCUCACUUUGGCAGCACCUAUACUGAAACUGAAUGAUACGGAGAAGAUUAGCAUGGUCCCUGUGCAAGGAUGACAUGCAAAUUUGUGACAUAUUCCGUAUUUUU